rnacentral:lncRNA from 1 species
UCUUCUCUCCACCCUCCACCACCCAAAAAACCACAAACCAAAAUUAAAAAAUGCGGCUCCUUCUUCUCCUCCUCCUGCUUCUCCAUCUCCACCACUCCCUCGCCGCACGUGAAAUGUCCGAUUACCGCGCCCUCCUCUCCUUCAAAUCCUCCAUAUCCUCCGACCCAAACUCCGUUCUCUCCUCCUGGACCCCCACCACCAGCCACUGCACCUGGACCGGCGUUACGUGCGACUCCCGCCGUCACGUGACCUCCCUCGACCUCUCCAGCAGUGACCUGGUCGGCACUCUCUCCUCUGACAUAGCCCACCUCCGCUUCCUCUCCAACCUCACCCUCGCCGACAACCAGUUCUCGGGUCCCAUCCCGUCCGAGAUCUCGGCCCUCUCUGGGCUCCGCCUCCUCAACCUCUCCAACAACAUCUUCAACACCACCUUCCCUCCUCAGCUCUCCAACCUCACCCGCCUCGCCGUCCUCGACCUCUACAACAAUAACUUGACCGGCGACCUCCCCGUGUCCGUCACCCACAUGACCAGCCUCCGUCAUUUGCACUUGGGCGGCAACUUCUUCUCGGGUCGGAUUCCGCCUGAGUUCGGCCGCUUCCCGCUUCUCGAGUACUUGGCCAUAUCCGGGAACGAGCUUGGCGGCUCGAUACCGCCCGAGAUCGGAAAUUUAACCAGUUUGAAAGAGCUCUAUAUCGGGUACUACAACAUCUACGAAGGCGGCAUACCGCCCGAGAUCGGGAACUUGUCCCAGCUAGUCCGGCUAGACGCCGCCAACUGUAACUUGACCGGAGAGGUCCCGCGGGAACUGGGUCGGUUACAAAAUGUGGACACUCUGUUUCUUCAGGUCAAUGCCCUUUCUGGGUCGUUGACUGCCGAGCUGGGUUCCCUCAAGAGCUUGAAGUCGAUGGACUUAUCCAACAACAUGUUUUCGGGCGAGAUUCCGGGCUCGUUUUCGGAGCUCAAGAACUUGACCCUUUUGAAUCUCUUCCGAAACAAGCUCCACGGCGCCAUUCCCGAGUUCAUCGGCGACUUGCCGGAGCUCCAGGUUCUGCAGCUAUGGGAAAACAACUUCACUGGUAGCAUUCCUCAGGGCUUGGGCAAAAAUGGAAAGCUUAUAACCUUGGACCUUUCGUCGAACAAGUUAACUGGGACUCUCCCUCCCGAUAUGUGUUUCGGAAAUAAUCUUCAGACUCUCAUCACUCUCGGAAACUUCCUUUUCGGGCCGAUUCCCGAGUCGCUCGGAAGGUGUGGCUCGCUGAGUCGGAUUCGGAUGGGUGAGAACUUCCUCAAUGGGUCGAUUCCGAAGGGUCUCUUUGGCUUGCCCAAGCUCUCUCAAGUAGAGUUGCAGGACAAUCUCUUGGCCGGUUCGUUUCCCGAAACCGAUACAAUAUCGGUGAAUCUCGGCCAGAUUAGUCUUUCAAACAACCGGCUUUCUGGGUCUCUGCCGCCGACCAUCGGCAACUUCUCCGGCGUCCAGAAGCUCCUCCUCGAUGGCAACAAGUUCUCGGGUCGAAUCCCACCCGAGAUUGGGAGACUACAGCAACUAUCCAAGAUCGAUUUUAGCCACAACAAGUUUCUGGGUCCGAUCGCACCCGAAAUCAGCCAAUGCAAGCUCCUGACGUUCGUCGAUCUCAGCCGAAACGAGCUCGCUGGCGAGAUUCCGAAGGAGAUUACAGGCAUGCGGAUACUGAAUUACCUCAACCUCUCGAGAAACCAUCUGGUGGGUAGCAUCCCUUCGUCCAUAUCCACAAUGCAGAGCUUGACAUCUGUGGACUUUUCCUAUAACAAUCUUUCGGGUUUGGUUCCGGGUACUGGUCAGUUCAGUUACUUCAAUUACACUUCCUUUCUGGGCAAUCCUGAUCUCUGCGGUCCCUAUUUGGUUCCGUGCAAAGAUGGGGUUGCCAAUGGCACCCACCAACCACAUGUCAAAGGGUCCCUUACUGCUUCUCUGAAGCUAUUGCUUGUUAUUGGUUUGCUUUUGUGCUCCAUCAUAUUCGCUGUUGCUGCAAUCAUCAAAGCCCGGUCUUUGAAGAAAGCGAGCGAGUCCCGGGCUUGGAAAUUGACUGCUUUCCAGCGCUUGGACUUCACAGUUGAUGAUGUAUUGGAUUCGUUGAAGGAAGACAACAUCAUAGGGAAAGGAGGGGCUGGGAUUGUGUACAAAGGAGCCAUGCCUAAUGGUGACAAUGUGGCUGUGAAAAGACUACCAGCAAUGAGCAGAGGGUCAUCCCAUGACCAUGGAUUCAAUGCCGAGAUUCAAACUCUGGGUCGAAUUCGACACCGGCACAUUGUUAGAUUAUUGGGUUUUUGUUCAAACCAUGAAACAAAUCUUCUGGUCUAUGAGUACAUGCCCAAUGGUAGCUUGGGUGAAGUUCUUCAUGGUAAGAAAGGGGGCCACUUGCAUUGGGACACAAGGUACAAAAUCGCCAUUGAGGCUGCAAAGGGGCUUUGCUAUCUUCACCAUGACUGCUCACCGUUGAUCGUCCACAGAGACGUGAAGUCGAAUAACAUCCUUCUUGACUCCAAUUUUGAAGCUCAUGUUGCUGAUUUUGGGCUUGCCAAGUUCCUGCAGGAUUCAGGCACGUCCGAGUGCAUGUCUGCAAUUGCUGGUUCUUAUGGAUAUAUUGCUCCAGGUAUUAUGAUUCAUUCAAUCCUUGAAUUUUUGGGUACUUUUACUACUGUAGAAAAUGUACUAACUCCCUCAUUUUAGUCUUAAUUUAGAACUUCUUUUGACCCUAUAAUACCAUAUAUAUAUAUAUAUAUAUAUGUUUUACAUUGAGUGAGGCCCUGCAUUUAUUUCUGCAGAAGCCUUCUUUGUCAUUUGGUGAAAUUUGACUUUGGGCUUCUAAUUGUUGGAUGUAUGCUCUUGAUUAAACAUUUAAACUGUUGAAAAUUUUGAUAUGGUGGUUGGCAGGAUACCUUGAAUUGAAAGUACAUGAAUUUAAUGAUUUUUGACUGUUACCCAUCAAUCGACCGAGACUUUUUAAUUUUGAAAAUAUUACCCCUACAAAACAAAUCAUAAGUAAUUGAAACUUGAACUUGAGUCUGGGUUGACUAGUUCAAAUUCGUACAAGGGUUUUGGUUUGAUGGUUUCUGGUUGUAAUAAUAUGAUUGUUUCUUUUGUGUGCAGAGUAUGCUUACACAUUGAAGGUGGAUGAGAAGAGUGACGUUUAUAGUUUCGGAGUAGUUCUGUUAGAACUUGUUAGCGGCAGGAAACCAGUUGGUGAAUUUGGAGAUGGGGUAGACAUAGUCCAAUGGGUUCGAAAAAUGACAGACUCAAACAAGGAAGGAGUCUUGAAAAUCCUUGACCCCAGGCUCCCUUCAGUCCCUCUCCAUGAGGUUAUGCACGUGUUUUACGUUGCAAUGCUGUGCGUGGAAGAACAAGCUGUGGAGCGUCCAACAAUGCGGGAAGUGGUUCAAAUUCUAACAGAGCUACCAAAGGCGCCCGGCUCAAAACAGGGAGGAGGAGACUCGGCAAUAACAGAGUCCUUCCCUCCAUCUGGCACUAGUGCAUCAGAGUCUCCAACUACAACGAGUAACACAAAAGAUCAUCAACAGCAGGCGCCACCGCAAUCACCACCGCCUGAUCUUCUUAGCAUAUGAAGUCUUAGUUGUCUGGGGAUAUUGGAGUGUUUGUUCUAGAUUCCAAGAAUUGUAUUAGCCUUUUUAUUAUGUGUUCUUUUAAUUUUCUUUGGGGUGGGGUUGGUUUGUUCUAACUUUAAGUUUGAAGUUUUUGGUGUACAGUAGGAUUUGGGGGGGUAUUUUCUUAUAAGUUUGUCUUCAUCUUCAUGUAGUAAGUACCACUGGCUGCUGAUUUCCACUUUCACCUUAUGCUGCUCACUGUUUAUGGCAUGUGUAUGCUUUACUGUUUUAAGCCUGGCAGAAGCAAUCGCCUUGUAAAAAGAUGGAGGGGCGAAAAAAGCACUUUUAAAUCGAGUGGUUUCAUUUGAGUACUUGUGAAAGGGAAGGGUGGAAUCUUGAAAGGAAGUGCUUUUUAACUAGUGUUUUUAUUUUUUAUUACCGACGACUUGUCGUGAGAGGAGGGAAAGGUUCAAGACACAAACGGGUUUGGGUAUAGAAAGAUGUGUUUCUUUUUGUUAUAUACCUUUUAACAAAUAACAGGAGAAAAUAUAAAAAGAAAUUAAAAUUUAAAAGUUCAAAAGUGAAAGUGCUUUUUUAUUUGUCUAGUAAUUGGUAAAUAGAAAUUGCGUUUGUUAUAAAGAGAAUGGUUUGGUUGGUUUAAGUACUAAAGUAAUGAGGAAGAAAGUAUUUUGGUAUCAAAUAUUCUUAUAAAAUAAUUUGAGAUCGUACAACUUUUAGUAAGAAAAAGUUUUAUUUGCUAGAGUUAGGAAUAAAAAAAUUAUGGGAUGGGACGAAUGAAAUGAAAUGGAGAUGAUUGUUUUUUUAUUUAUUUUUUAAUUGCUUUUGUUACUUAAAUUUUAGGCCCGUUCUAGUGUACUAGGAUUUUUGUGUAAUAAGAAAUAAACAUAAGAAAAAUAGUGGACCGCUUGUACCACUUUUAGAAUUAUUGGCACAAGUAAUUAUUUUUUUAAUGUUGAAGACAUCCCAAGUUUGAAUCUUUCUACAUAAUUUUGCAUGGUAGAAAAAUGGGAAAAGAAUAGGUGAAGUUUAAUGAUAGACAUCUUGGCUCCC